GGAAUUUAAUUGUGUUGUCAGAGUAGUAAUAGUUAAGAUCUUGAAACUCAAAAAAUUUGGCGGUGUUUUAGUCUAUUUAGAGGAACCUGUAAUGUAAUCGAUAAUCCACGUUGGACCUAACUUAAUUUUGUAAUAGUUCAAUUUGUAUACCGCCGUUUUUGAAAAUUUUAUAAGAGGAAUAAUUUUCAUGAUUUUUUAUAGGAAAAUAAAUCAGGUCAAGGUGCAGUUAAUAAUUAAGUUUUAUAUGGGUUACAAUAAAUUUAUUUAAGCGAAUUGUAAAAUGAAAUUUUUAUAUGAAGAUGGAUUUAAAAGUAAAUUUUUAUAGAUAAUAGUGUUGAUU
rnacentral:rRNA from 1 species